AGAAGUACACAAAGGAUUUGAAUGGUACCCAAAGGGCUCUAAUUGCUACCAUUCAAUGUGUGGAUUCAAGUAUUUACCCAGAUACUGCCACAAUAUGUUCUUAUUGUUUUCAAAGGAGUUUGCACACAGUGCCAGAAGCUGUAUAAAUACAUUUAACAAUGUAUAUUUCAAGAAGAAAUGAUGCGUUCUUAUUCCUAAGAGUUUAUCAAUAGGAUGAAUGCCACAAAACUCACUUGUUAUGCCAGAAACUCUUCCUACGAAACUUCCAUACUAGAAUUUGUCCAGUGCCUGUGAUCCUCUGAGUUGAAGGAGAAUGUGCUCCAUAAUACCUACUAGGAGCUUGCUAAUAGCUGGAAGUUCAUGAAUACUAUGUUGUCCUUGAUUUGGUGAUUCUGAAAACUACCAUUUUUGAAGACUUGAGCAUUAUUUCGAUAAUUUUUAAAAAUCUUUUCGGGAAAUAUUGUGUUUAUAAUAUUAAGAAAGUGAAGAUAA
rnacentral:sRNA from 1 species